rnacentral:rRNA from 1 species
AUUGAACGCUGGCGGCAUGCUUUACACAUGCAAGUCGAACGGCAGCGCGGGCUUCGGCCUGGCGGCGAGUGGCGAACGGGUGAGUAAUGCAUCGGAACGUGCCCAGUAGUGGGGGAUAGCCCGGCGAAAGCCGGAUUAAUACCGCAUACGACCUGAGGGUGAAAGCGGGGGACCGAAAGGCCUCGCGCUAUUGGAGCGGCCGAUGUCGGAUUAGCUAGUUGGUGGGGUAAAGGCUUACCAAGGCGACGAUCCGUAGCUGGUCUGAGAGGACGACCAGCCACACUGGGACUGAGACACGGCCCAGACUCCUACGGGGGGCAGCAGUGGGGAAUUUUGGACAAAGGGGGCAACCCUGAUCCAGCCAUGCCGCGUGCGGGAAGAAGGCCUUCGGGUUGUAAACCGCUUUUGUUCGGGAAGAAAUCCUCUGGGCUAAUACCCCGGGGGGAUGACGGUACCGGAAGAAUAAGCACCGGCUAACUACGUG